UACGUAGGGGGCGAGCGUUGUCCGGAUUUAUUGGGCGUAAAGAGCUCGUAGGCGGUCUGUCGCGUCGGUCGUGAAAACUUGGGGCUUAACCCUGAGCUUGCGGUCGAUACGGGCAUGACUGGAGUUCGGCAGGGGAGACUGGAAUUCCUGGUGUAGCGGUGAAAUGCGCAGAUAUCAGGAGGAACACCGGUGGCGAAGGCGGGUCUCUGGGCCGAUACUGACGCUGAGGAGCGAAAGCCAGGGGAGCAAACGGG
rnacentral:rRNA from 1 species